rnacentral:rRNA from 1 species
CCUACGGGAGGCAGCAGUGAGGAAUAUUGGACAAUGGUCGGAAGACUGAUCCAGCCAUGCCGCGUGCAGGAUGAAGGUCUUAUGGAUUGUAAACUGCUUUUGUAAGGGAAGAAUAAGGGCUACGCGUAGUUUGAUGACGGUACCUUACGAAUAAGCAUCGGCUAACUCCGUGCCAGCAGCCGCGGUAAUACGGAGGAUGCGAGCGUUAUCCGGAAUCAUUGGGUUUAAAGGGUCUGUAGGCGGGCUGGUAAGUCAGAGGUGAAAGCGCUCAGCUCAACUGAGCAACUGCCUUUGAAACUGUUGGUCUUGAAUGGUUGUGAAGUAGUUGGAAUGUGUAGUGUAGCGGUGAAAUGCUUAGAUAUUACACAGAACACCGAUAGCGAAGGCAUAUUACUAACAAUUAAUUGACGCUGAUGGACGAAAGCGUGGGGAGCGAACAGGAUUAGAUACCCUGGUAGUC